rnacentral:pre_miRNA from 1 species
AAAGUACUCCCUCCGUCCCAAAAUUCUUGUCUUAGAUUUGUCUAGAUACGGAUGUAUCAAGUCACAUUUUAGUAUUAGAUACAUUCGUAUCUAGACAAAUCUAAGACAAGAAAUUUGGGACGGAGGGAGUAGUUG